rnacentral:rRNA from 1 species
CGCCGCGUGAGUGAAGAAGGUUUUCGGAUCGUAAAACUCUGUUGUUAGGGAAGAACAAGUCAGGUAGUAACUGACCUGACCUUGACGGUACCUAACCAGAAAGCCACGGCUAACUACGUGCCAGCAGCCGCGGUAAUACGUAGGUGGCAAGCGUUGUCCGGAUUUAUUGGGCGUAAAGCGCUCGCAGGCGGUCUUUUAAGUCUGAUGUGAAAGCCCACGGCUUAACCGUGGAGGGUCAUUGGAAACUGGAGGACUUGAGUGCAGAAGAGGAGAGUGGAAUUCCAUGUGUAGCGGUGAAAUGCGUAGAGAUAUGGAGGAACACCAGUGGCGAAGGCGACUCUCUGGUCUGUAACUGACGCUGAGGAGCGAAAGCGUGGGUAGCGAACAGGAUUAGAUACCCUGGUAGUCCACGCCGUAAACGAUGAGUGCUAGGUGUUAGGGGGUUUCCGCCCCUUAGUGCUGAAGUUAACGCAUUAAGCACUCCGCCUGGGGAGUACGGCCGCAAGGCUGAAACUCAAAAGAAUUGACGGGGACCCGCACAAGCGGUGGAGCAUGUGGUUUAAUUCGAAGCAACGCGAAGAACCUUACCAGGUCUUGACAUCCUUUCGACCUCCCUAGAGAUAGGGAUUUCCCUUCGGGGACGAAAGUGACAGGUGGUGCAUGGUUUGUCGUCAGCUCGUGUC